rnacentral:rRNA from 1 species
AUACGGGGGGAGCAAGCGUUGUCCGGAUUUAUUGGGUUUAAAGGGUGCGCAGGCGGUGCGUUAAGUCAGUGGUGAAAUCUUCCGGCUCAACCGGGAAACUGCCAUUGAUACUGGCGCACUUGAGUACGGACGAGGUAGGCGGAAUUUAUGGUGUAGCGGUGAAAUGCAUAGAUACCAUAAAGAACACCGAUAGCGAAGGCAGCUUACCAGACCGUAACUGACGCUCAGGCACGAAAGCGUGGGGAGCAAACAGGAUUAGAAACCCUAGUAGUCC